CGGACGGGUGAGUAACACGUGGGUAACCUGCCCAAAAGUGGGGGAUAACAUUUGGAAACAAAUGCUAAUACCGCAUAAUAGUCAGAAUCGCAUGAUUCUGAUUUGAAAGAUGGUUUCGGCUAUCACUUUUGGAUGGACCCGCGGCGUAUUAGUUAGUUGGUGAGGUAAAGGCUCACCAAGACGAUGAUACGUAGCCGAACUGAGAGGUUGAUCGGCCACAAUGGGACUGAGACACGGCCCAU
rnacentral:rRNA from 1 species